rnacentral:rRNA from 1 species
GCGGCAGGCCUAACACAUGCAAGUCGAGCGGUAGCACAGAGAGCUUGCUCUCGGGUGACGAGCGGCGGACGGGUGAGUAAUGUCUGGGAAACAGCCUGAUGGAGGGGGAUAACUACUGGAAACGGUAGCUAAUACCGCAUAACGUCGCAAGACCAAAGUGGGGGACCUUCGGGCCUCAUGCCAUCAGAUGUGCCCAGAUGGGAUUAGCUAGUAGGUGGGGUAACGGCUCACCUAGGCGACGAUCCCUAGCUGGUCUGAGAGGAUGACCAGCCACACUGGAACUGAGACACGGUCCAGACUCCUACGGGAGGCAGCAGUGGGGAAUAUUGCACAAUGGGCGCAAGCCUGAUGCAGCCAUGCCGCGUGUGUGAAGAAGGCCUUCGGGUUGUAAAGCACUUUCAGCGGGGAGGAAGGCGGUGAGGUUAAUAACCUCAUCGAUUGACGUUACCCGCAGAAGAAGCACCGGCUAACUCCGUGCCAGCAGCCGCGGUAAUACGGAGGGUGCAAGCGUUAAUCGGAAUUACUGGGCGUAAAGCGCACGCAGGCGGUCUGUCAAGUCG